CUGACUCCACUGUAUUUUAAUAAUCUUUACAAAUUGCAAUAUUGCGGUAUUUAUAAGGAAGGGAAGACUCUCGCAACCAUUCCAAACAAGUCUACCAAGUGGGAUUCAUUUUCACUUCACGGAGGAAAUUUGACUAUACUGUUUAAGUAUAAGUUCAUCCGAGGAAUAGGGAAACUUUGUAUUGCACCUGGAUUCCUUAGUGGCUACAGGCUAAUUAAGUCUGGGAAGAAGGAUCAUCCCCCGCCAAAAGACGUUUCCAUAUUUUUCCAAAGGAUAAGGAAUGACAAAGUCUUUGGAUCAAAGCUCUAUCUUUUAAUAAUUAGCCAUUAGGAGCCUUCAAAAUAUUCUGCUACACCAACACAGUUUCCAAACAUGCUAUUUUUCCAAGCCAGCAAAAAUAGUGAGGAGCAAAGCAUCUCUCUCUUCGACUCGGAUCUAAAAAGAAAAUACAUGAAUAAAAUAGAUGUAUUCGAAAUGGCCGAUAUUAUUUCUUCGAUAUCAAAACUAAAUUUAAAACUGGACAGAGGUAGCUUACCCAAUGGAUUUUAGGAGCUCUUUGACUCCAUUGAUCAGGCAUAGAUAAAAUAUUUUGAAUAUGAAGCAUUUAUAAUCUUGCUUUAAGCCCCAUGCAUCUAAAUUAUUUUUUCAAAUUAGUAUAUAUUAUUACUUAAAAACUCAUGAAGAGUUCAAUUUUUUCCCUCAAAAUAUUAUUGUAAUCCGUAUUCAACCCAACCUAACCAGCUUAUUGUAUGAUAAUUCCUUAAUAACUAUUACAAACUAUAUUGACCAAUCAAAAUCGACCUUUUUUGAAGGCAAUUUUUUUAAUAUUAAGAUGUAAGGUCUAUUCUAUAACUUCAGUUAGGAUAUAAAGCACUUGAUUAAAAAAUACAAAAGAUAUUCGCUUCUAAGUUAGGUUUUGCUCUAUUUUUUAGUGGUUGUCUCCGUUUUUUAUUAAUUUUAAUAAAGAUAAAGUAUUAAAUGAUUCUUUUUUUAAAUGCUGAAUGUUUGCAUCAACUUGUUAUUUACUUUGAUUUUCAUCUAUAUAGUUAUUUCAUGUCGAAAUAUGGCACUGAGUCGUAGUAGUCGAUAUUUAUAUUUAUGAAUUUUUGGUACUGCAAAUACUCAAGAGUAAUUUCUUCACCAAACGUCCCACAAUGAUGGAUACGGCCAAGCAGGAAGUGGAAAGAUACCGGACUCUGAAGGUCUGAAAAUGAUUUUGGCCUACAGGAGGGUCAAAAAUGUAUUUCAAAGAUGCAAUGUCGUGUCCUUCCCAGAAGAGCCAGCAGCAAGCGUUUGUUCUCCAAGGCCUAAGAGAUCCUAUGGAGGACCAGGAAAGAGAUGAUUAUGAAAAAUGAGGAAUUGAUUUAUUCUAAUGUCUUGUAUACCAAUAAGUUAAAAUUUGCAAAUUUUACUCUCGUCACCAUCACUAAGGAUGAAGGAAGACUAAUAUAUGCAAUGAACCUUGUUAAUAAGUCCUAUAUGUGUAGUAAAAUUAUAGGAUAAUUUUUAAAUUGAUUGAAUUUAUAGCUUAGAAAUGUCUAAUUUCAUGAUUAAAAACUAUUGUUCCUCUCUUAAUGUGCAAUAAAAUAAGAAACUCAAGACACAGUGAUCCUGAAGAAAAUAGAAUUACUGUCGUAUGUAUCUUAAAUUCAUAUUUUCUCAUA
rnacentral:lncRNA from 1 species